UGAGGUCGGAGAGAUCCGGCCUGACCGACGUGCAGGAGUCAGCAGAAGGCAAAGUAGGCGGGCCGUCAGGCAAAGCUAGUGAGGCACCCCAAGGGCGAAAGCC
rfam:Kiritimatiella glycovorans strain L21-Fru-AB chromosome, complete genome.